AUGAACACUUACCACGCUGCACCUUGGACUCCUUCCGACGACAAACGUUACAGAAGAUCCCACCACAAACAGACCAAGCAGCAUGGUCAGGAGAACUGGACAUGGGAGGACAGCCUGGAUGGCAAAGGAUCCUGGACUUGGGAGGAGAUCCUGGCCGGAAGGGAUCGCCUCCCAUGGGAACAAGGGGAAGCAGCGAGGGAGUCAUGGCAACGAAGCAAGCACGAGAGGCAGCCCCCCCAAAAAAAUUGGUUGGGGCACACGGGGAGAUUGGCGGAGUCAGGUUGUAGACCUGAGCCAACUCCCCGUUCUUACCAUGGGGAGAGAAUGACUGGUCAAGCACCGUGUUAUCCGGUUCUGCGCACUAUGCCUUCGGUGCGCAGCCACAGCCCGGUGCACUCUGUGCAAGCUCCUCUCAGUGGUCAUGCUAGAGUGGGCAUUCAGCCAGGACGGAUUGUGCCGGCUCAGCGUUCCUGGCCUCCGGUGCGUCUCUUCGGCCCAGGUUAUCUUGCGUCAGCUCUACGCACGGUGUCCCCGGUUCGCCAGCAAAGCCCAGUGCGGCCUGUUCCUGCUACCCGCACUUGCCGGACUAAGGGGGGUAUCCAGCCAGGACGAGUUAUGCCAGAUCUGCGCUCCAGACCUCCGGUGCGCCUCCACGGCCCAGGAUAUCCUGCGCCGGCUCUGUGCACUGUGUCUCCGGUGUGUCUGCACAGCCCGGUGCGUCUGGUGCCAGCACUCCACACUCACCGAGCUAGAGUGGGUAUCCAGCCAGGACAUGUUGUGGCAGCUCCACUCACUAGGCUGCCAGUACGUCUCCUCAGUCCAGGGGGGACCUGUUCCAGCUCCACGUUCAAAGCCUCCAGUGAUGAUCCACGGCACGGAGCCUCCAGUGAGGAUCCACGCCACGGAGCCUCCAGCGUUGAUCCACGGUCCGGAGCCUGCAGAGACGGUCCCCGGUCCGGAGCCUGCAGAGACGGUCCCCGGUCCGGAGCCUGCAGAGACGGUCCCCGGUCCGGAGCCUGCAGAGACGGUCCCCGGUCCGGAGCCUGCAGAGACGGUCCCCGGUCCGGAGCCUGCAGAGACGGUCCCCGGUCCGGAGCCUGCAGAGACGGUCCCCGGUCCGGAGCCUGCAGAGACGGUCCCCGGUCCGGAGCCUGCAGAGACGGUCCCCGGUCCGGAGCCUGCAGAGACGGUCCCCGGUCCGGUGCCUGCAGAGACGGUCCCCGGUCCGGUGCCUGCAGAGACGGUCCCCGGUCCGGAGCCUGCAGAGACGGUCCCCGGUCCGGAGCCUCCAACGACGGUCUCCGGUCAGGAGCCUCCAAAGACGGUCCCCGGUCAGGAGCCUCCAAAGACAGUCCCCGGUCAGGAGCCUCCAACGACGGUCCCCAGUCCGGAGCCUGCCGCGACGGUCCUCGGUCCGGAGCCUGCAGUGACGGUCCCCAGUCCGGAGCCCCCGGCGAUGAUCGGUGGUCUGGUUCCUCCGGCGAUGAUCGUUCCUCCAGUGAAGGUCCAUGCACCAGGGCCGCCAUCAAAGCGAAAGGAUCUGCGGGCAGAGGGGGGUCUACGUCCCGCACCGGAGCCGCCGCCGUGGAGAGAUGCCUACCCGGACCCUCCCCUUUAAAGUCAGGUUUUGCGGCCGGAGUCCGCACCUUUUUUUUUUGGGGGGGGGGGCUUUUAUUCUUUAUUUUGGUUAGGCCAGGGUGUGACUAG
ensembl:lncRNA